ensembl:ncRNA Y57G11C.1140 ncRNA
AUUUCUUUUUUGCCCCCUCGGGGACUGGGCCGAGCCCGGCAGCAGUGCAACGCCGGGACGACCCUUGGAAAGACGGAGCAAGCCCCGAGUCUUCCCUAGUUUCCAAAAAUCAUAUAACCUUUAUUACACUCAUUCGAGUGUAUACCGUAGGUUAAUACGAUAAGAACAGAUACUACACUUUGAUCUUAGCUAAUAAGCCGAAGAAGCGAUA